rnacentral:rRNA from 1 species
UACGGAGGAUGCGAGCGUUAUCCGGAUUUAUUGGGUUUAAAGGGUGCGUAGGCGGACUGUCAAGUCAGCGGUAAAAUUGAGAGGCUCAACCUCUUCCCGCCGUUGAAACUGGUGGGCUUGAGUGGAUGAGAAGUACGCGGAAUGCGUGGUGUAGCGGUGAAAUGCAUAGAUAUCACGCAGAACUCCGAUUGCGAAGGCAGCGUACCGGCAUCCAACUGACGCUGAGGCACGAAAGCGUGGGGAGCAAACAGG